UCUCAAAACUAAGAGUGCUUCUUGACAAUGAAGUUCACCCAUGAUUGCAAGGGGGACAAGUUUUAAUCAGCAUACUUCAUUUAUCAGCCACCACUUUUUAACACUCCUUGCAAGUCGAUUAAGACCACUCUAGGCGGCUGAGAGGUGGGGACAUGUGCAGAGGCCACCAGUCCAUGGAGCUCUCUCAAAAUGGUGAUGGCGACAGGAGGAAGAAAAGGCUGAAACAGACUAAGAGGGCUCCCUGUCUGCAAAUUUGUCCAAUGCUGUCACAUAUGUUUCAAUUUUUUUUAAAAAAAAAUCUCAAUUCAUCUUCAAAGCAUGGGGA